rnacentral:misc_RNA from 1 species
UGUAUGUAUAUAUAUAUAUAUAUGUAUUCGAAGAAAGCAAAUACCCAAAAACAGAGAAAGCACUAUUAUCGUUACGGUUGCAUUUCCCACAUCAAAACACUAAGAAACUCUCUUAAUAUACAACAAAACCCAACCAGAUUUAGCUAAUUCAUCUUCAAUUUGUUCAUCACAAACGCAGAAGCAGAGUAGAAAUUGGAAGAACCUGAAAGCACAUUUCUAACUUUGAUUUUCAGCAUACUUAUUAAUCAGAGACAACGCAUUGCUUAUCACUCGAGUAACAUCCACAAUGCGAGCCCUAACCGAAGACUUAAUUCUUCCAUUCAGGGCGGUACCGGCAAAUCCGUCGGAGCAAGUGUUUUCGUCGGUCAUAGCGGCACUCACCCAAGUCUCAACGUUGCUAAUGUGCCAUAGGAAGUCCUUUUUCUUCGAUCCGCUAACGCGCUUCAGUUCCUCCACCGAUUUGUUCAGCCGAUCUACGGUGUCGCCGACCUCCUCCAUACAGUCCUUCAAGGCCGCGUGCUCUCUGGGCUUCAGUCCACUGAACUUCGUCAGUUUCCAGACGAAAGAUCGAGCGGAUUGAGCGCGUGAGAGGCUCACGAUUAGGGCGGUUUGGACUAAUUGGCGAGGGUUUUGUUGGAUUGUGGAGGCGAAAUUUGAGAGGGAUUGGACGCAUAGGUCAGGGUAAGUAGCGGCGCUGCACUUGGAUUUGAUGAAAUUGGAAGCUCCGGAGUUGCGGGCGGCGGCGGCGAUGGUGAGAAUGGAGAGGAGUAGUAGGAGAAGGGAGGCGGAUUUCGCCAUUGAUAGAUCUGGAGAGAAAUGGGAAGAGGAGGAAGAAGAAGAAGAUAAAGAUGAA